AUUGAACGCUGGCGGCAUGCCUUACACAUGUAAGUCGAACGGUAACGGGCCUUCGGGUGCCGACGAGUGGCGAACGGGUGAGUAAUACAUCGGAACGUGCCCGAUCGUGGGGGAUAACGAGGCGAAAGCUUUGCUAAUACCGCAUACGAUCUACGGAUGAAAGCAGGGGACCGCAAGGCCUUGCGCGGACGGAGCGGCCGAUGGCAGAUUAGGUAGUUGGUGGGAUAAAAGCUUACCAAGCCGACGAUCUGUAGCUGGUCUGAGAGGAUGAUCAGCCACACUGGGACUGAGACACGGCCCAGACUCCUACGGGAGGCAGCAGUGGGGAAUUUUGGACAAUGGGCGCAAGCCUGAUCCAGCCAUGCCGCGUGCAGGAUGAAGGCCUUCGGGUUGUAAACUGCUUUUGUACGGAACGAAAAGCCUUCUUUUAAUACAGGAGGGUCAUGACGGUACCGUAAGAAUAAGCACCGGCUAACUACGUG
rnacentral:rRNA from 1 species